UCACAAUGGUUUGGUCCACUGCCUCCCAUCCCCCCAGCCCUCAGCAGUGGCACAUGAUGCAGUUACAGCGCAUAUGUGGGAAUCUGACAGUCUGUCAUUGGUGGCUGACCUCCAUUGAGCAGCAGUGGUCCUAUGGCUAUUUAUGAGACAUUGAAGAACAUCGACACAUUGUUUAGAGCUGACGACCUGCCUACUACGUGGGACCAACAGAAGUUGGAGAAUUUUCAGAAUAUUGUAUACCACCAGAUUGAAAAGAGCAAAUGUAGUGGACACGUUCCAGCUCUGUGUCUAAAGGAAAAGUCGAGCGCAUGUUUCCACAGCAUGUUUACAAGAACACACAGG